GAUGAACGCUGGCGGCGUGCCUAAUACAUGCAAGUCGAGCGAACAGACGAGGAGCUUGCCCCUCAGACGUUGGCGGCGGACGGGUGAGUAACACGUGGAUAACCUACCUAUAAGACUGGGAUAACUUCGGGAAACCGGAGCUAAUCACGGAUAAUAUAUUGAACCGCAUGGUUCAAUAGUGAAAGACGGUUUUGCUGUCACUUAUAGAUGGAAUCGCGCCGCAUUAGCUAGUUGGUAAGGUGACGGCUUACCAAGGCAACGAUGCGUAGCCGACCUGAGAGGGUGAUCGGCCCCACUGGAACGGAGACACGGUCCAGACUCCUACGGGAGGCAGCAGUAGGGAAUCUGCCGCAAUGGGCGAAAGCCUGACGGAGCAACGCCGCGUGAGUGAUGAAGGUCUUCGGAUCGUAAAACUCUGUUAUUAGGGAAGAACAAAUGUGUAAGUAACUAUGCACGUCUUGACGGUACCUAAUCAGAAAGCCACGGCUAACUACGUGCCAGCCGCCGCGGUAA
rnacentral:rRNA from 1 species